rnacentral:rRNA from 1 species
GAUGAACGCUGGCGGCGCGCCUAAUACAUGCAAGUCGAGCGAAUGGAUUAAGAGCUUGCUCUUAUGAAGUUAGCGGCGGACGGGUGAGUAACACGUGGGUAACCUGCCCAUAAGACUGGGAUAACUCCGGGAAACCGGGGCUAAUACCGGAUAACAUUUUGAACCGCAUGGUUCGAAAUUGAAAGGCGGCUUCGGCUGUCACUUAUGGAUGGACCCGCGUCGCAUUAGCUAGUUGGUGAGGUAACGGCUCACCAAGGCAACGAUGCGUAGCCGACCUGAGAGGGGGAUCGGCCACACUGGGACUGAGACACGGCCCAGACUCCUACGGGAGGCAGCAGUAGGGAAUCUUCCGCAAUGGACGAAAGUCUGACGGAGCAACGCCGCGUGAGUGAUGAAGGCUUUCGGGUCGUAAAACUCUGUUGUUAGGGAAGAACAAGUGCUAGUUGAAUAAGCUGGCACCUUGACGGUACCUAACCAGAAAGCCACGGCUAACUACGAGCCAGCCGCCGCAGUAA